UACGUAGGGGGCCAGCGUUGUCCGAAGUUACUGGGCGUAAAGAGCGCGUAGGCGGGUCUUUAAGUGAGAGGUGAAAUUCUGAGGCUCAACCUCGGAACUGCCUUUCAUACUGGGGAGCUUGAGUGCGGGAGAGGCGAGUGGAAUGGUCGGUGUAGCGGUGAAAUGCGUAGAUAUCGAUCGGAACACCCAUGGCGAAGGCAGCUCGCUGGCCUGCAACUGACGCUGAGGCGCGAAAGCCGGGGGAGCAAACAGG
rnacentral:rRNA from 1 species